GGGUACACUAAAGACUACACAUAUCUCGAAGACACUCUGAGACUAGAAGCAACAAAAGAAAAAAAGAGAGGCUAUUCUUAACGUGCAAGGAGGUUUGUGGUUCGUGAGAUUUGAAGAUCAUCUCUAACUUAAAGUUCACACCUAAAACCAAGAAAAGAAAAAAAAAAAACUUGUUCACACCAUAAAACCAUGCACAUAUACUAGGUUAUGUCAUCAGCUAGAUUCAUGCACAUCAGCACAUCCACAUAUAUAAAUAAUGAGGAGCGUCGUCAAAUAUUGAUGCCAAUGCUAAUCAAAUGUUAAAUGAUUUUGCCGUGUUAUGUCAUCAG